rnacentral:rRNA from 1 species
ACCGUUUUGAAAGAUUUCUUCGGAACAAUUUGAUUUAGUUUAGUGGCGGACGGGUGAGUAACGCGUGAGUAACCUGCCUUCAAGAGGGGGAUAACAUUCUGAAAAGAAUGCUAAUACCGCAUGACAUAUCGGAACCACAUGGUUCUGAUAUCAAAGAUUUUAUCGCUUGAAGAUGGACUCGCGUCCGAUUAGUUAGUUGGUGAGGUAACGGCUCACCAAGACCGCGAUCGGUAGCCGGACUGAGAGGUUGAACGGCCACAUUGGGACUGAGACACGGCCCAGACUCCUACGGGAGGCAGCAGUGGGGGAUAUUGCGCAAUGGGGGCAACCCUGACGCAGCAACGCCGCGUGAAGGAUGAAGGUUUUCGGAUUGUAAACUUCUUUUAUUAAGGACGAAAAAAUGACGGUACUUAAUGAAUAAGCUCCGGCUAACUACGUGCCAGCAGCCGCGGUAAUACGUAGGGAGCAAGCGUUGUCCGGAUUUACUGGGUGUAAAGGGUGCGUAGGCGGCUUUGCAAGUCAGAUGUGAAGUCUAUGGGCUCAACCCAUAAACUGCAUUUGAAACUGUAGAGCUUGAGUGAAGUAGAGGCAGGCGGAAUUCCCCGUGUAGCGGUGAAAUGCGUAGAGAUGGGGAGGAACACCAGUGGCGAAGGCGGCCUGCA